rnacentral:rRNA from 1 species
GCUCAGAGCGAACGCUGGCGGCAGGCUUAACACAUGCAAGUCGAGCGGGCGUAGCAAUACGUCAGCGGCAGACGGGUGAGUAACGCGUGGGAACGUACCUUUUGGUUCGGAACAACACAGGGAAACUUGUGCUAAUACCGGAUAAGCCCUUACGGGGAAAGAUUUAUCGCCGAAAGAUCGGCCCGCGUCUGAUUAGCUAGUUGGUGAGGUAAUGGCUCACCAAGGCGACGAUCAGUAGCUGGUCUGAGAGGAUGAUCAGCCACAUUGGGACUGAGACACGGCCCAAACUCCUACGGGAGGCAGCAGUGGGGAAUAUUGGACAAUGGGGGCAACCCUGAUCCAGCCAUGCCGCGUGAGUGAUGAAGGCCCUAGGGUUGUAAAGCUCUUUUGUGCGGGAAGAU